rfam:Deltaproteobacteria bacterium RBG_16_47_11 RBG_16_scaffold_6801, whole genome shotgun sequence.
GCCGAUAAAGCCAAACCAUGAGCAAUCGUGGGACGGAAAGCCACGGGUCCUACUGGGAUAGCCGGGUUGCCGAGG